AAACUACAUUGACUUCCUGGGGUGGGUUAGAAAUUACUGGGAAAUUACACCUUGACAAAUCUUUGGUUUAACAAAAGGUUUACAUUUUGUUAUCAGGGAGACAGUGCAGGGAAUAUUAAGUACCUUGAAAGACUGAAGCCAAGACAUUACCCUAAUGCUAUUUUACCACACUUAGGUUACCAAUGAUCUUUUCAAGUCUGAAAGCAUCUACGUAUAGAUCCCAGUGCACAAGGUAUGCAGAGCUUAGUUUCAGUGAGAUAUAGGAAGACUCUGGACAUCACAGGAUUAGGUAGCUGUGUCUGUCAAUCCUACCAAUAUCCAGGAUAAAACAUGGGGAACAAUAGAGAAGAAGC
rnacentral:lncRNA from 1 species